rnacentral:misc_RNA from 1 species
UGCUUCAGCAUCGAACCGUCCGCGCACGCUCCAUGUCAGUGACGCAUCAAGAAUUUCUUGUGCCCCGAACGGAUUCCUGUAUUUGUUGCCUAUCGUAAAGGAAUGGUUCCUCUCGUUGACCCUUUCCUUCCCCGACCCAUGCGGCCUGGGGAAGGACAUCAUAGCAACGCUUGUGCCCCUAGUUCUGAACGUGCCUCAUGGCGCGCACAUUGCGAAGGUUCCCAAGUUGCAUGCUUGAUAUCUCGGAUACGGAAAAUGCGGUGGACUCGGGGUCUUUGCACCCUUGCACGUCCAAUUUAAAGCGAAAUGUACGACUGCCAAGCUCGUUGCGGGGUUUCCCGCGCGCUGCUUGGCGUCGACAAAGGAUGCUACCUGGUU